GUCAUGGGCGUCCUGUGGGCUUAGUAGGCGUGUUGUUUGGGGCUUUAUGGCAUGCAUGUCUCAUUUAUGCUACGCCGUUGGGCGUCUACAAAAACAUGCUAGUGACGUUUGCGGGGCGGCUGAGGCGAAGGCAGGCGAACGUCAAGGGCGUCCUGUGGGCUUAGUAGGCAUGCUGUGUGGGCACUUGACAGCAUGCAUGGCUCGUCGGUGCUACGCUGUUGGGCGUUUACAAAAAACAUGCCCGCGACGUCUGCAGGGCGUUUUAGGCGGUGGCAGGCAAACGUCAUGGGCGUCCUUUGGGGUUAGUAGGCGUGCUGCGUGGGCGCUUGAAGGCAUGCAUGGCUUGUCCAUGCUACGCUGUUGGCCAUUUACAAAAACAUGUCCGCGACGUCUGCAGGGCGAUUGAGGCGGUGGCAGGCGGACGUCAUGGGCGUCCUUUGGGCUUAGUAGGUGUGCUACAUGGGCGCUUGACGACAUGCUUGGCUUGUCCGUGCUAUGCCGUUGGGUGUCAACAAAAACAUGCCAGCGACGUCUGCGGGGCAACUGAGGCGAAAGUAGGCGGACGUCAAGGGUGUGCUGAGGGCUUAGUAGGCGUGUUGUGUUGGCGCUUGACAACAUGGAUUGCUCGUCCGUGCUUCGCCGUUGGGCGCUUACAAAAACACGCUACCGAUGUCUGCGGGGAGACCGUGCUCCGCCGAGGGAACUUCUCAAGAUCGGUUUAUACUAGCGUUUGGUGUGGAAACGACAGUGCUUUCGGGCGAGUGGCGAGUUCUAGAUCUCCUGUUACAGCUAACUCUAGGCGUUGCACGCACGGCGCACGUAAGGCCAUAUACGGCCACAGGGCUGUCCAGAGACGUCGACGGGAGCCUCGGGAAGAGUUAUAUUUUAUGUUUAACAGCCUGCCCACCAUGGAAUCGGCUCAGCCAAAGGUAGGGUCCAGCUGCUGGAAGAGCACCGCACGUCGCGUGGUAUACAGUGUGCUCCGGGUGGCCCUUGAAAAUCUGGAGGACCGAAUGUCGUCCACGCCGGGUCGUACUCCUAACCGCAUUAGGUCUCCAAGGUGAACAACCUCUGGUCGAUGGAACAAUGUAGGAAAGGGAAGUCUGCAAAGUGGAUCCGUAACUUCGGGAAAAGGAUUUGCUCUGAGGGAUGGGCACGUGGAUCCCAGUCCCGAGCUGCUCCCGCGGCGAGAGCGGGUCACCGCGUGCGGGAUUGGGGACGGACAAGGAACGGUUCCUUCGGGGGCCUUCCCCGGGCAUCGAACAGCCAACUCAGAACUGGUACGGACAAGGGGAAUCGCACUCUUUAAUUAAAACAAAGCAUUGCGAUGGUCCCAACGGAUGUUUAUGCAAUGUGAUUUCUGCCCAGUGCUCUGAAUGUCAAAGUGAAGAAAUUCAACCAAGUGCGGCUAAACGGCAGGAGUAACUAUGACUCUCUUAAGGUAGCCAAAUGCCUCGUCAUCUUAUUAUUGACGCGCAUGAAUGGAUUAACGAGAUUCCCUCUGUGCCUGUCUACUAUCCAGCGAAACCACAACCAAUAGAAUGGGCUUAGCAGAAUCAGCGGGGAAAGAAGACCCUUUUGAGCUUGACUCUAGUCCGACUUUGUCAAAUGACUUGAGAGGUGUAGUAUAAGUGGGAGCCGAAAGGCGUAAGUGAAAUACCACUACUUUUAAUGUUAUUUUACUUAUUCCGUGAAUCAGAAGCGUGGCACAACCCCUCUUUUUGGACCCAAGCCUCGCUUUGCGGGCCGAUCCGGGAAGAGACAUUGUCAGGUGGGGAGUUUUGCUAGGGCAGCAUAUCUGUUAAAAGAUAACGCAGGUGUCCUAAGAUGAGCUCAACAAGAAAAGAAAUCUCGUGUGUAAGAGAAAGGUAAAAGCUCGUUUGAUUCUGAUUUCCAGUACGAAUACGAAUCGUGAAAGCGUGGCCUAACGAUCCUUUAGACCUUUGGAAUUCGAAGCUAGAGCUUUCAGAAAAGUUACCACAGGGAUAAUUGGCUUGUGGCAGCCAAGCGUUAACAGCGACGUUGCUUUUUCAUCCUUCGAUGUCGGCUCUUUUGGUCACUGUGAAGCAUAAUUCACCAAAUGUUUGAUUGUUCACCCACCAAUAGGGAACGUGAGCUGGGUUUAGACCGUCGUGAGACAGGAUAGUUUUACCUUUGAAAAGCCAGUGGCGCGAAGCUACCGUGUGCUGGAUUAUGACUGAACGCCUCUAAAUCAGAAUGCGGACUAGAAGCGACGCAUGCGCCCGCCGUCCGCUUGCGGACCCGCAUUAGGGGCCUAUGGCCCCCAAGGGCACGUGUCGUUUUCUAAGUCGCCGCAACAUAAGCGUCGCGGUGACCGCCUUGAAGUACAAUUUCCAUGGAGCAGCGGAUAGAAUCCUUUGCAGAUGACAUAAAUACGCGACGGGGUAUUGUAAGUGGCAUAGUGGCCUUACUGCCACGAUCCACUGAGAUUCAGCCCUUUGCCGCUCCUAUUCGU
rnacentral:rRNA from 1 species